rnacentral:rRNA from 1 species
UACGUAGGGUGCAAGCGUUGUCCGGAAUUAUUGGGCGUAAAGAGCUCGUAGGCGGUUUGUCGCGUCUGCUGUGAAAACUCGGGGCUUAACCCCGGGCCUGCAGUGGGUACGGGCAGACUAGAGUGCGGUAGGGGAGACUGGAAUUCCUGGUGUAGCGGUGAAAUGCGCAGAUAUCAGGAGGAACACCGGUGGCGAAGGCGGCGCUCUGGACCGAGACUGACGCUGAGGCGCGAAAGCGUGGGGAGCAAACAGG